GACAGCAGCAGCCGCGGGAAUACGGAGGGUGCAAGCGUUAAUCGGAAUUACUGGGCGUAAAGCGUGCGUAGGCGGUUCGUUAAGUCUGUUGUGAAAGCCCCGGGCUCAACCUGGGAAUGGCAAUGGAUACUGGCGAGCUAGAGUGUGUCAGAGGAUGGUGGAAUUCCCGGUGUAGCGGUGAAAUGCGUAGAGAUCGGGAGGAACAUCAGUGGCGAAGGCGGCCAUCUGGGACAACACUGACGCUGAGGCACGAAAGCGUGGGGAGCAAACAGGAUUAGAGACCCCCGUAGUCCCUGUCUCUUAUAC
rnacentral:rRNA from 1 species